CCUACAGGAGGCAGCAGUGAGGAAUAUUGGUCAAUGGGCGGAAGCCUGAACCAGCCAAGUAGCGUGCAGGAUGACGGCCCUACGGGUUGUAAACUGCUUUUAUACGGGAAUAACGAGACUUACGUGUAGGGCUUUGCAUGUACCGUAUGAAUAAAGGCCGGCUAACGCCGUGCCGGCAGCCGCGGUAAUAUGGAAGGUCCGGUCGUUAUCCGGAUUUAUUGGGUUUAAAGGGAGCGUCGGCCGGAAGUUAAGUGUGCUGUGAAAUGGCCGGGCUCAACCCGGGCCUUGCAGUGCGGACUGGGGGGCUUGAGUCCGCUAGAGGGAGGCGGAAUGCGUGGUGUAGCGGUGAAAUGCUUAGAUAUGACGAAGAACACCGAUUGCGAAGGCAGCUUGCUG
rnacentral:rRNA from 1 species